UGUUUGUGGAACAGGACUGGAGA
rnacentral:piRNA from 1 species